GCACAGAGCAGGGCAGAAAACGAAGGAACGCAGAAACGCAGCGACGGCGCCCUACGUCUCGCGACCCGACACCUCCGGCAUCCUGAGAGCGGAGCGUCGCGUCCUCUCGCGACUGUGACCUCCCUGAGCAGAACCCAGCGAGCCGUCGGCGACGACCCUCUUCUCCUACUCCUCUGAGCCCUCGCCCUCUCUCAAACUCCUCAACCUCUGCCGCCGUUAGACCUCCCUGAGCAGAACCCAGUGAUCCGCCGACGGCGACCCUCUUCUCCUACUCCUCAGAGCCCUCGCCCUCUCUCAAACUCCUCAACUUCUGCCGGCCUUAGGGCUUAUUUGCGGUGCAAUUCUCAUUUGUGCAGUUUGCUGGACCACCUCCUGCGGCCUCCUCCCCUUAGACAUCAAUGAUCUCGUUCCAAAUGUUUUGGGAGUCAUUUUGGCUUUUGUCCAACUGAUCAUCAUGCUUGUUACUAUAGAUCCACACCGAAAAAAGAAGACAAUGCUGAGAUUGAACUACCUGUUAAACAUUUUAAGCUUUCACAAAUUUUCUGAAAACUCUUACAUAACUUUCUAAAUUGUUGCAUCCCCUCUUGGCAAUGGAGAGGCGUUUACUUUUUGUUUGAAAACUGUUGUCAGUUUCUAAAGAUUGAAAAUUUUUUAUUUGAUGAA